AAGAUACUCCCUCCGUCCAAAAAUAUUUGCCAUCAAAAUGGAUAAAAAAAGAUGUAUCUAGAACUAAUAUACGUCUAGAUACAUCCCCUUUUAUUCAUUUUGAUGACAAGUAUUUCCGGACGGAGGGAGUACAAU
rfam:Triticum aestivum genome assembly, contig: Triticum_aestivum_CS42_TGACv1_scaffold_461566_5DS